GUGUUCAUUGCUAUAUAUAUGUUGUUGAGUCACGUCCAUUGAUACACGUCUCUCGCCGCAACCCUAAGACACAAAAGACAAAGUCAGUUUGUUAUUUUGAGAACGGUACUAGCAUCCCGUGAAAUCUUGUCUGCGUGCCGUGUGGAUACCAGUAGAGGCACACCACUUGGAGUGCUUUACAACCUCGGUUCAUUAUAGUUCAUCGUUCCGCUGCAAACUACCGAG
rnacentral:lncRNA from 1 species